rnacentral:ncRNA from 1 species
AUAAAAGCAGUGAAGAGGAGUAGUAAUUGUAGAGUGACCUUUAGAGAAGCAUUGGUUGGUGAAAAAUGCCAGGCACGAAACAAUGAACUCGCCUUAGAGCUUCCCGCUGAAAACGUCAAGUAGGUUGGGACGGUUUUCCCCGUUAUAGGAAUUGGAUGCAUUAGCAUCUUGAGAGCAUGUAACACAUGAAACAGAGUGGUACCGCGUAUGUAAAGCUUACGUCUCUGUG